GUGAUUUGUUUAUAUAAUAAGUGAGGUUAGAAAGGAUCUUCAAAUUUUGUUCAAAUUUCAUUUAUUUAGUCUUUUUUAAGGGCCUUAAUUAUUGGCUGGUUUAAGCUACAUGUUUAGUUAUUACGACGAUUUAAUUUAAAGGCAGGAGACUGUAUAAUUAUUACUAUGAUCCCUUCUCAGUCCUAUGGGAUACCCAAAAACCGGAACUCAAUUUUAACUUUAAAACAGUUUAUAUUAAAACAAGAAGUUAAGAACUUAUAUAGGCAGAUAUUUCGUGCAAUUCGAGAAGUUCCAGACAAGAAUUAUCAAGAGGAGUUGAAAGAUUGGGCUCGAAGAGAUUUUAGACAGAACGCUCAUUAUACUGAUGAAGUUGCUAUUAAAAUGUCGUUGCAGUAUGGACAGAGGUGUUUGAAGCAGUUAGAAAACAGUAUAGCAUUUGCAAAAUAGAUUGAUGUUGAAAAAAUUGAAACAAUAAUAUAAUUAUAUUAUUGUUUAAGAAAAUGACUUAAUGUAUUAUAAUAUGGAUGCCAAUGAUGAGAUGAACUAAUGAAAUAGUUAAGUUCAAAUACAUUUGUUACUAAAGUUGUAGCUUUUAAUUGAAAUACAGUGUUUCUUCUCCCUAAGUGGAUUUAUUUCAGCUAAAAUGUUAGAUG